AUGUGCCUGCAGAAUUUCCCUUGCCAAGAGGUCGAGAGGCACAACAAGCCGGAGGUGGAGCUCAAGACUAGCUCUGAACUUCUGCUGAAUCCGGUGCUUAUAUGUCGUAAUGAAGCCGAGAAGUGUUUGGUAGAGACUUCAAUCAAUUCUAUCCGUAUAAGCUUGAAGGUUAAGCAGGCAGAUGAACUGGAAAAUAUUCUUGCAAAGAAGUUUCUUAGGUUUUUGUCGAUGAGGGCAGAGGCAUUCCAAGUGUUGAGGAGAAAACCAGUUCAGGGUUAUGAUAUUAGCUUCCUCAUAACAAACUACCACUGUGAGGAUAUGCACAAGCAUAAGCUCAUAGAUUUCAUUGUUCAGUUUAUGGAGGUAAGUAAAGGUCUAGUAAAUGAACAGCUGACAGCAAGAGACAUUGACAAGGAGAUCAGCGAGCUCAAGCUGUCGGUGAACACACGUGGCCGGCUGGUGGCAACUGAGUUCCUAAAGCAGUUCAUCUGA
rnacentral:rRNA from 1 species